rnacentral:rRNA from 1 species
UGGGGAAUAUUGCACAAUGGGCGCAAGCCUGAUGCAGCCAUGCCGCGUGUAUGAAGAAGGCCUUCGGGUUGUAAAGUACUUUCAGCGGGGAGGAAGGCGAUAAGGUUAAUAACCUUGUCGAUUGACGUUACCCGCAGAAGAAGCACCGGCUAACUCCGUGCCAGCAGCCGCGGUAAUACGGAGGGUGCAAGCGUUAAUCGGAAUUACUGGGCGUAAAGCGCACGCAGGCGGUCUGUCAAGUCGGAUGUGAAAUCCCCGGGCUCAACCUGGGAACUGCAUGCGAAACAGGCAGGCUAGAGUCUUGUAGAGGGGGGUAGAAUUCCAGGUGUAGCGGUGAAAUGCGUAGAGAUCCGGAGGAAUACCGGUGGCGAAGGCGGCCCCCUGGACAAAGGCUGACGCUCAGGUGCGAAAGCGUGGGGAGCAAACA